AAAUCCGUUUUGGCGGCCGAGGGACUAGAAUUCAUAUUUCGGUCGUCUGUCAGUAGAGCGCAACUGUUCAGUUA
ensembl:ncRNA F59E12.14 ncRNA